rnacentral:rRNA from 2 species
AUUGCCUCAGUAACGGCGAGUGAAGCGGCAACAGCUCAAAUUUGAAAUCUGGCCCUAGGCCCGAGUUGUAAUUUGCAGAGGAUGCUUUUGGCAAGGUGCCUUCCGAGUUCCCUGGAACGGGACGCCAUAGAGGGUGAGAGCCCCGUCUGGUCGGACACCGAGCCUCUGUAAAGCUCCUUCGACGAGUCGAGUAGUUUGGGAAUGCUGCUCAAAAUGGGAGGUAUAUGUCUUCUAAAGCUAAAUACCGGCCAGAGACCGAUAGCGCACAAGUAGAGUGAUCGAAAGAUGAAAAGCACUUUGAAAAGAGAGUUAAAUAGCACGUGAAAUUGUUGAAAGGGAAGCGUUUAUGACCAGACUUGGCCCGGUUGAUCAUCCAGCCUUCUGGCUGGUGCACUCUGCCGGUCCAGGCCAGCAUCAGUUCGUCGCGGGGGAUAAAGGUUUCGGGAAUGUAUCUCCUCCGGGAGUGUUAUAGCCCGUUGCGUAAUACCCUGCGGUGGACUGAGGUCCGCGCUCUGCAAGGAUGCUGGCGUAAUGGUCAUCAACGACCCGUCUUGAAACACGGACCAAGGAGUCGUCUUCGUAUGCGAGUGUUCGGGUGUAAAACCCCUACGCGUAAUGAAAGUGAACGCAGGUGAGAGCUUCGGCGCAUCAUCGACCGAUCCUGAUGUUCUCGGAUGGAUUUGAGUAAGAGCAUACGGGGCCGGACCCGAAAGAAGGUGAACUAUGCCUGUAUAGGGUGAAGCCAGAGGAAACUCUGGUGGAGGCUCGCAGCGGUUCUGACGUGCAAAUCGAUCGUCAAAUAUGGGCAUGGGGGCGAAAGACUAAU